UCAUGGUGUGCCAGAAGAUCAAGUAAAACAACAGACUUGUGUCAUAAAAAGCAAUGCUUUGUGCCCUAGGUGGAAUGAAACUUUUACUUUUAAUGUUCAAGUUCCAGAACUGGCAUUAGUACGCUUUUCUGUGGAAGAUCAGAUAUCGCUAGCUGCAAAUGAGUUCCUGGGCCAAUACACUUUACCACUGCUGUGCAUGAAUAAAGGUUAUCGUCAUGUUCCUCU